rnacentral:rRNA from 1 species
AUUGAACGCUGGCGGCAGGCCUAACACAUGCAAGUCGAACGAGUGGCGGACGGGUGAGUUAUGUCUGGGAAACUGCCCGAUGGGGGGGGAUAACUACUGGAAACGGUAGCUACUACCGCAUACCAGCGGAUGCGCCAAGAUGGGAUUUGCUAGUUGGGGGGGUAACGGCUCACCUAGGCGCAGAUCCCUAGCUGGUAUGAGAGGAUGACCAGCCACACUGGAAAUGAGACACGUUCCAGACUCCUACGGGAGGCAGCAGUGGGGAAUAUUGCACAAUGGGCGCAAGCCUGAUGCAGCCAUGCCGCGUGUAUGAAGAAGGCCUUCGGGUUGUAAAGUACUUUCAGCGGGGAGGCGUUACUCGCAGAAGAAGCACCGGCUAACUCCGUGCCAGCAGCCGCGGUAAUUC